rnacentral:lncRNA from 1 species
AACUUUAUACUCAGGUUUUACACGGCCUUGGGCCCACCUCACAACAACCUUUCCCACCGAAUAAGCGCCAGCUCAGAAAUCACGCACAACACCCUCGCCACCAAGUCUGACGCUCGUCCGAUGAUAACACGAACGGUAGCACGUCCAGCACCCUUCAAUUAUUUCUGCAACAUCAGCACACCCUCUUUGCCUUCGUCUUCAGUCAGUGUAUUUAGCUUGCCAUGGCCCUCAAGGACAUGACAGAAGGAAGUCCGCCUCUCGUUCGCCCGUUUUCACCCGCUCAGCACUGUAGGAGAGCUAGCUGUUGUACACCUGUUUGCGGGCACUGGUUCUGAUUGAUCUAUAAUCAGAAUAUCAAAUCCGCAUCCUCAUAAAAAACUGCCUUCGUGUUGAAAUAUUAUCGCUGCUGUAAAAAAUUGUGUAAGUAUACUGCAUUUUAUUUGUGACUUACUUUAUUAUGAAAGGUAUUUUAAACAUAAUUUAUUUUUACGAUAAUAACGAUUAAUAUUUCGAGUAAGUAAUAAUUAAGCGGGAAACUGAAGACUAAGAAUCGGGCUACGAUCGACUCGGUUCCAUCUCUCUGUUUUCGGGGUCCACUGUCACCUUUUCAGGGAGCUGGUCAUGCUACCGUCUACAGUUCUACACUCUACACCCGUGCACGGACGGGACUCUCCCUCCAUUCUCAGCCGCCUACCGACUUUGUCAGCGCUCUGCCAGACUGCCAAGUGCGAACGCUCCUCUUCAAGGCUUCCUCAAGUGUCCAAGUGCUGCCAACCAUAUCUUCCCGAGCGUGGCUACUUGCUCCGGGCCCGCGAUCGUCGUGUCUCCAUCGCCAGCCGCGCAUCCCCCUGCCUCCGACAAGAUCCCAAAUCCACGCUCCCGGCCGGCGGAAUGCCGGCCGAGCGCGUCGACGUCGCGGUCACCUCGCGGACGCUGGUGCGGGCGUCCGACCCGCCGCGGGGCUUCCCGGCCGUGCUCCCGGCCUCCAACCUCGACCUCAUCCUCGGCUCGUUCCACACCUACCUCGUCGCCGUCUACCCGGCCCCGGCCGCGGGCUUCCCCGCGGUGGCCGCGGCCGCGAGCGCCGCGCUGCCGGCCUUCCUCUCCCGGUUCUUCCCCUUCGCCGGCCGCGUCGUCACCAACGCCUCCACGGGCGUCCCCGAGAUCGCCUGCGACAACGCCGGCGCGGAGCUCGUGGUGGCGGAGGCCGCGGCGAGGCUGGCGGACGUCGAUUUCGCCGACGCCGACCGCUCGCUCGCCCGCGUCGCCGUGCCGUUCCGCCAGGGCCUCGCGCUGUCGCUGCAGCUCGUCCGGUUCGCCUGCGGCGGGUUCGCGCUGUCGUGGGGCACCGACCACCUCCUCGCCGACGGCCACGGCCUCACGAUGCUGCCCAACGCGUGGGCGGAGCUCCUCCGCACCGGGGGCCUCUCGUGGGAGCCCCACCACGAGCGGGCGUCGCUCUUCCGCCCCCGCUCGCCGCCGCGGUUCAGCCCGUCGCUGGACGCCGAGUUCACGCGGUACGCGCCGGCGGGGCUCCCCAACACCCUCCUGACGGCUGCCCUCGUGCGCCGCAACUACGUGGUCUCCGCCGCCGACGUCGCCCGCCUCCGCACCGCGGCCAGCACCCCCGCCCGCCGCGCCACCCGGCUCGAGGCCCUGUCCGCGCACGUCUGGAAGCUGCUCGCCGCGGCGGUGGGCGGGUCCGACACCCACUGCCGCAUGGCGUGGCUCGUCGACGGGCGGCCCCGCCUCGACCCCGCCAGGUACGACGCGGGCACCGUGCGCCGGUACCUCGGCAACGUGUUGACGUACGCGUCGCGGGAGGCGGCCGUGGAGGCCGUGUCGUCGGCGACGCUGGCCGAUGUGGCGGCGAUGGCGGGCGCGGCCAUCGCGGAGGUGUUCCGGUCGGAGCGGUUCGAGGAGCUGGUAGACUGGAUGGAGGCGCGCAAGGGGGUGUUCCGAGAGGGCGGCAAGUGGACGGAGGCGGUGGGCGUGGGGACGGGGAGCCCCGCGCUGGUGGUCUCGGCGUUCGUGCCGUUCCGCGUGGAGGGGGACUUCGGGUUCGGGCGGCCGCGGCUGGUGAUGCCGUGGGUGCGGCCGGGGCGGCUGGGUUCCGCGGCCAUGACGGUGGCGCGGAGCCCGCGGGAGGACGGGUCGUGGGUGAUCACCGCCAGGCUGUGGCCGCGGCUGGCCGACGCCGUGGACGCGGACCCGGAGGCCGUGCUCAAGCCGGCCACGGCCGCGCGGCUCGGGUUCGGCGAGCCCGAGCCGGCGGCAGGCGUGGCGCAGCAUGCGAGCCGCUUGUGAGGAGUUCGGACUUCGACCGGCGGGUCUCCCCGGGCUGUGCCGUGGAGGGAUGCCGUGUGAGAAUUGAGAUGUGGCGCCGACACGUUGUACUGUCUCAAUUCUUGUCGACGCCAGCUCGAGACAAAGUAUUUUGGAUCUACUGCUAGCCCUUGUUUAAGCCUUGUAACAAGUUGCCUAACUUUGGGGUGUCCAAAUUACUGUAGCGACACUGUAGCGUUUCGUUUGUACUUGUAAAUUAUUGUCCAAAUAUUGACUAAUUAGGCUCAAAAGAUUCGUCUCGCAAAGUACAACAAAACUGUGCAAUUAAUUUUUGAUUUCGUCUACAUUCAGUACUUCAUGCAUGUACCGCAAGUACUGUCUCAAUUCUUGUCGACGCCAGCUCGAGACAAGUAUUUUGGAUCUACUACUAGUUGAAUUACUUUUCCUUUAUUUUUUCUUCUGCCGAUCGUUGUGGCAAGUUUCAGUUGGGUCCAACACACGUAGCUGUGAGACUAUCUAGACCGAAGUAAUCCUGGUCACCUUUUUUUCCAGAGUUGAAUUAUUCCACUCCCAAUGGUAGGCGAAAAGAAAUUCAUUUUCAUAGGAAGCAUCGAAUAGCGACUUUUCCGUUGGAUACGGGAGCACUCGUUGGUUCGGAACAAAUCUAGGAGCAAGCCGCCGUGGUUUACUGAGGAUGUUUAGAGUGUAUUUGGUUGAGCUGUGAUUUUUGAAAAAGUAGCUGUGGCAUGUAGAAAGGUUGUUGUGAGAUGUGGACCGUGAGAAAGUUAAAAACGGUUUGGUUUGGGUAGCUGUGAUUUUUGAGAAAACUAUUAAAUGGAUCCUACGUGUCAUCCAUAGCCCUCCCCACUCAACUCUCUCCCCUCUCUUACUGACGAGCUGACCUCGCUCGUCAGCCCCUUCUUCUUCCUCUCACUAGCCAAGGAUCAGCGGCAGUCGGGGCCUCGCCCGUGCUUGCGCCCACGGCGACGGUGGAGAGCACAACGGUGGAGGAGGAGGAUCGCGCCGGAGGAGCCCGCGUGGCGGCAGAGGCGCUCGGGGCAGAGGAACUCGCAGCGGGACGGAGGAGGCUUAGGGCGGAGGAGCUCGUGGCGGAGGAGGGGGAGGCUCGGGGUGGAGGAGGAGCUCACGGCGACGGAGGAGCUCGGGGUGGAGGGGGCUCGGGGCGGUGGCGGAGGAGGAGCUCGCGACGGAGGGGGCUCGGGGUGGAGGAGCUCGCGGCGGCGGAGGUCGCCCGCGCCCACGGCGGCAGAGGAGGUCGCGAGCUUCUUUUUCGUCGGGGCGUGUGACGAAUUGGUAUCCUCACUUAGGAGUAGCAAGCGGGUAAAUAAACUGAAGUUUCUCCUCCCACAGCCGGUGAAAGUAGAUCCGAAUCGGCUUUCACAUUCCUACUACGAAGAAAGUUACUUUUGGACAAAGCUAGACUGCCUCCUUGUGCUCUUUGGUUGACUUUGAGUUUUUGGGAAGCAAAAGCAAAAGCAGCCCUAAAAGCCUAACCAAAUGUAACCUUAACUAUUUACCAUUUUUACGAUUAACUAUUUUGACACUCCUUGACAAGUCAUUAUUAGAACGGCUCCUGGACGAAAUUACCAUUUGCUGACGUGGCAAGCCACGUGCCCUUACCUAUGCCAUCCGUUCCCCUCUCUCCUACCACUGACGUGUGGGGCAGGUUCACCUUCAACCUCUCGACGUCCCAGCACUAGCAAGCGGCAAUGGCGGCCCUGCUAAUGGCUGCGCCACAUCAGGGUGGCAACGGAGUGGGGCCAGGUCCUCGUCGGGUCCGUGCAAGCGCUAGCGCAAAAAUCCCCUCCGCAGACAUCCCAAGGGACAAACACAGAACACAUGCAUAAGCCAAUCCGCAAGAAUUUGAGAAGAAGCCACUUCAGAGUUCGUUCAAAAAUUAUGGCACGAAAUAAUUAAACAAAGCAUCGGUAACAUGCUAGCUUAAGAAAGCACGUGGAUUCAAAGAAUCUCGGCGACGACGGCUUCCUUGCCUCAGAUUUGAACGACGGACGACGGCAACGACGACUCGAUGAGGGCCUGUGGCAACGGCGCCGCCCAUGCCGCGUCCGUCGGCGCAUCACCCUUUGCCUGAUUGUGGUUGUCGCAUCUGCAGGAACGGAGGGGAUGGAGGCCUGGCCUGUGGCCUCACGGCGGCGCCGGCAACGAAGGCGUCGUGAUGGGGCCGAGAGUGGAGAGGCUAUGUGAGCGAGAGAGCGGCGGCCGGAGCGAGGGGAGAAAGGGGACGAGCUUUCCUCAGUCGGCCGGCACGCGCGCAAGCACGGGCCGAGCGGGCGGAUGCCACCAAUCGGCCAUGCCACUUGACGAGCUCAUCCCCAACGAUAGCUGAGAGGUUGAAGGUGAACAUGAUAUGUGGGUCCCACACAUCUGUGGCAGGAGAGAGGCAGGGGCAUCAUGGUCAUUUGUUCAUGCUCAGUCCACG